rnacentral:rRNA from 1 species
AUUGAACGCUGGCGGAAUGCUUUACACAUGCAAGUCGAACGGCAGCACGGACUUCGGUCUGGUGGCGAGUGGCGAACGGGUGAGUAAUGUAUCGGAACGUGCCCAGUCGUGGGGGAUAACGUAGUGAAAAUUACGCUAAUACCGCAUACGAUCUAUGGAUGAAAGCGGGGGAUCGUAAGACCUCGCGCGAUUGGAGCGGCCGAUAUCAGAUUAGGUAGUUGGUGGGGUAAAGGCCCACCAAGCCAACGAACUGUAGCUGGUCUGAGAGGACGACCAGCAGAACUGGAACUGAGACACGGUCCAGACUCCUACGGGAGGCAGCAGUGGGGAAUUUUGAACAAUGGGCGAAAGCCUGAUCCAGCCAUUCCGCGUGCAUGAUGAAGGCCCUCGGGUUGUAAACUGCUUUUGUACAGAACGAAAAGGUUUCUACUAAUACUAGGAGCUCAUGACGGUACUGUAAGAAUAAGCACCGGCUAACUACGUGCCAGCCGCCGCGGUAA